rnacentral:rRNA from 1 species
UACGUAGGGUGCGAGCGUUAAUCGGAAUUACUGGGCGUAAAGCGUGCGCAGGCGGUUCUGCAAGUCAGAUGUGAAAUCCCCGGGCUUAACCUGGGAACUGCGUUUGAAACUACGGAGCUAGAGUGCGGCAGAGGGGGGUGGAAUUCCACGUGUAGCAGUGAAAUGCGUAGAUAUGUGGAGGAACACCGAUGGCGAAGGCAGCCCCCUGGGCCGACACUGACGCUCAGGCACGAAAGCGUGGGGAGCAAACAGG